UACGUAGGGCGCGAGCGUUGUCCGGAAUUAUUGGGCGUAAAGAGCUCGUAGGCGGCCUGUCGCGUCCGCUGUGAAAUCCCGGGGCUUAACCCCGGGCCUGCAGUGGAUACGGGCAGGCUGGAGGCAGGCAGGGGAGAACGGAAUUCCCGGUGUAGCGGUGAAAUGCGUAGAUAUGUGGAGGAAUACCGAUGGCGAAGGCAGCCCCCUGGGAUCAACACUAGACGCUCAUGCACGAAAGCGUGGGGAGCAAACAGG
rnacentral:rRNA from 1 species